AUUACCCACUCCCGGCACGGGGAGGUAGUGACGAAAAAUAACAAUACGGGACUCUUUUGAGACCCCGUAAUUGGAAUGAGUACACUCUAAAUCCUUUAACGAGGAUCUAUUGGAGGGCAAGUCUGGUGCCAGCAGCCGCGGUAAUUCCAGCUCCAAUAGCGUAUAUUAAAGUUGUUGCGGUUAAAAAGCUCGUAGUUGGAUCUCAGUUCCAGACGGGCGGUCCUCCUAACGGUGGUUACUGCCUGGCCUGAACAGCCAGCCGGUUUCCCUAGAUGAUCUUCACCGGUUGUCUUGGGUGACCGGCACGUUUACUUUGAAAAAAUUAGAGUGCUCAAAGCAGGCGUGUAGCCUGAAUAAUGGUGCAUGGAAUAAUGGAAUAGGACUUCGUUUCUAUUUUGUUGGUUUUCGGAACACGAGGUAAUGAUUAAGAGGGACAGACGGGGGCAUUCGUAUUGCGACGCUAGAGGUGAAAUUCUUGG
rnacentral:rRNA from 1 species